AGCGAACGCUGGCGGCGUGCUUAACACAUGCAAGUCGCGUGCGCAGUUCCCUGUAGCAAUACAGGGGAUGGGCGCACGGCGCACGGGUGCGUAACACGUGGGUGACCUGCCCUAAGAUGGGGAAUAACCCCGCGAAAGCGGGGCUAAUACCGCAUAACAUUCUUCGACAUACGGGUUGAAGAAUCAAAGUCCGCCUUCGGCGGACGCCUUUGGAGGGGCCCGCGGCCGAUUAGCUAGUUGGCGAGGUAAUGGCUCACCAAGGCAGUGAUCGGUAGCUGGUCUGAGAGGAUGAUCAGCCACACUGGAACUGAGACACGGUCCAGACUCCUACGGGAGGCAGCAGUGGGGAAUCUUGCGCAAUGGGCGAAAGCCUGACGCAGCGACGCCGCGUGGGGGAUGAAGCUUCUCGGAGCGUAAACCCCUUUCGACCUAGACGAAACGCCUCGCAAGAGGAAUUGACGGUACAGGGAGAAGAAGCCCCGGCUAACUACGUGCC
rnacentral:rRNA from 1 species